UACGUAGGUGGCAAGCGUUGACCGGAAUUAUUGGGCGUAAAGCGCGCGCAGGCGGCCUUUUAAGUCUGAUGUGAAAUCUUGCGGCUCAACCGCAAGCGGCCAUUGGAAACUGGGAGGCUUGAGUACAGAAGAGGAGAGUGGAAUUCCACGUGUAGCGGUGAAAUGCGUAGAUAUGUGGAGGAACACCAGUGGCGAAGGCGACUCUCUGGUCUGUAACUGACGCUGAGGCGCGAAAGCGUGGGGAGCAAACAGG
rnacentral:rRNA from 1 species